CGGAGGUACUCGAGUGGCGAACGGGUGAGUAACACGUGGGUGAUCUGCCCUGCACUCUGGGAUAAGCCUGGGAAACUGGGUCUAAUACCGGAUAGGACCGCACUUUAGUGUGUGUGGUGGAAAGUUUUUUCGGUGUAGGAUGAGCCCGUGGCCUAUCAGCUUGUCGGUGGGGUAAUGGCCUACCAAGGCGGCGACGGGUAGCCGGACUGAGAGGUUGGUCGGCCACAUUGGGACUGAGAUACGGCCCAG
rnacentral:rRNA from 1 species